ACAGGAGGAGCACGAAGGGGAGCAGGUCGAGCAGGAGCGGCAGCAGUGGAAGGAGCAUUGCGGGGUUCCACGGCGAGCCCGCAGCUCGGCUGGGCCCGGCAGCAUCGCAUUGCCCCGCAUCCCGCAGGAUUUCCCAUUUCCAAACCUUAUCUGAAUAGAGGAGAAGUCUGCAAGGAAGAGGAAGAUGCCUUGGGACAGCCUGGCAGAGCAGGAGCUGAGCAUGGAGAGCAGGGAGGACAAAUGCCCGCGGCAGAACCUGGUGGAAGAGGCCGUUUUGAGCAGCUCCACGGCGCAGGAAGCCAAUGGGGAGGAAAAGCCCCGGAGAUGCCGCACGAGGAGGGGCUGCAAACGCAGCCCAGGAUGCUCUGAGGUGGAAAGACCCAGCCUGUGCCUGGAAGGCAGCCAG